AGUAAGGAAUAUUGGUCAAUGGAGGCAACUCUGAACCAGCCAUGCCGCGUGCAGGAAGACAGCCCUCUGGGUCGUAAACUGCUUUUAUUCGGGAAUAAACCUACUUACGUGUAGUAGCUGAAUGUACCGAAGGAAUAAGGAUCGGCUAACUCCGUGCCAGCAGCCGCGGUAAUACGGAGGAUCCAAGCGUUAUCCGGAUUUAUUGGGUUUAAAGGGUGCGUAGGCGGCCUAUUAAGUCAGGGGUGAAAGACGGUAGCUCAACUAUCGCAGUGCCCUUGAUACUGAUGGGCUUGAAUACACUAGAGGUAGGCGGAAUGUGACAAGUAGCGGUGAAAUGCAUAGAUAUGUCACAGAACACCGAUUGCGAAGGCAGCUUACUAUGGUGUUAUUGACGCUGAGGCACGAAAGCGUGGGGAUCAAACAGGAUUAGAUACCCUGGUAGUC
rnacentral:rRNA from 1 species